UACAGAGGGGGCAAGCGUUGUUCGGAUUUACUGGGCGUAAAGCGCGCGCAGGCGGUGAUGUAAGUCAGGUGUGAAAUCCCCGGGCUUAACCUGGGAACUGCAUUUGUGACUGCAUCGCUGGAGUGCGGCAGAGGUGGAUGGAAUUCCGCGUGUAGCAGUGAAAUGCGUAGAUAUGCGGAGGAACACCGAUGGCGAAGGCAACCCCCUGGGCCUGCACUGACGCUCAUACACGAAAGCGUGGGGAGCAAACAGG
rnacentral:rRNA from 1 species